UUACCAAAAGCUAGAUUUGUGGAAAGGUUUUUUAAAUAACCUUAACCAACUUGGGCUAUUUGGCAGAAUGAGUAAGACCACACUCCACAGUGAGCUAUACCACUACGUAUGGUUCAUUACUAUCUUGUGGCCUACACU